rnacentral:rRNA from 1 species
UGCGUAGGUGGUCGUUUAAGUCCGUUGUGAAAGCCCUGGGCUCAACCUGGGAACUGCAGUGGAUACUGGGCGACUAGAGUGUGGUAGAGGGUAGCGGAAUUCCUGGUGUAGCAGUGAAAUGCGUAGAGAUCAGGAGGAACAUCCAUGGCGAAGGCAGCUACCUGGACCAACACUGACACUGAGGCACGAAAGCGUGGGGAGCGAACA